rnacentral:lncRNA from 1 species
AGUCAAUCAACAAAUGUAUGAAAAAAUGCUCAACAUCUCUAGAAAUUAGAGAAAUGCAAAUCAAAACUACUCUUAAGAUUUCAUCUCACUCCAGUCAGAAUGGCAACUAUUAAGAAUACAAACAACAAUAAGUGUUGGUGAGGAUGUGGGGGAAAAGACACACUCAUACAUUGCUGGUGGGACUACAAAUUGGUGCAACCAAUCUGGAAAGCAGUAUGGAGAUUCCUUGGAAAACUUGCCAUUUGACCCAGCUAUCCCUCUCCUCAGCCUACCCAAAGGACUUAAAAACAGCAUACUACAGGGACACAGCCACAUCAGUGUUUAUAGCAACACAAUUCACAAUAGCUAAAAUGUGGAACCAUCCUAGAUGCCCUUCAUUAGAUGAAUGGAUAGAGAAACUUUGGUAUAUAUACACAAUAGAAUAUUACUCAGCAUUAAAAGAGAAUAAAAUCAUGGCAUUUACAGGUAAAUGGAUGGAAAUGGAGAAUGUUUUGCUCAGUGAAAUAAGCUAAUCCCAAAAAACCAAAUGCUGAAUAUUUUUUC